rnacentral:sRNA from 1 species
AACCUAACCCAUUUCUAUUGCAGGGGUGGUAUGGUCUUAAAUCGCGUAAACAAUACUGAUCCCGUCGUUCAGGUUCGUUUACGCGUCAUGCAGGGAAACUUGUAUGGGACCCUUCAAAAGGUCU